CGUAGGGUGCGAGCGUUAAUCGGAAUUACUGGGCGUAUAGCGUGCGCAGGCGGUGAUGUAAGACAGAUGUGAAAUCCCCGGGCUCAACCUGGGAACUGCAUUUGUGACUGCAUCGCUGGAGUGCGGCAGAGGGGGAUGGAAUUCCGCGUGUAGCAGUGAAAUGCGUAGAUAUGCGGAGGAACACCGAUGGCGAAGGCAAUCCCCUGGGCCUGCACUGACGCUCAUGCACGAAAGCGUGGGGAGCAAACAGGAUUAGAUACCCUGGUAGUCCACGCCCUAAACGAUGUCAACUGGUUGUUGGGUCUUCACUGACUCAGUAACGAAGCUAACGCGUGAAGUUGACCGCCUGGGGAGUACGGCCGCAAGGUUG
rnacentral:rRNA from 1 species